UAGACCGCCUGGGGAGUACGGCCGCAAGGUUAAAACUCAAAUGAAUUGACGGGGGCCCGCACAAGCGGUGGAGCAUGUGGUUUAAUUCGAUGCAACGCGAAGAACCUUACCUGGUCUUGACAUCCACAGAAGAAUCCAGAGAUGGAUUUGUGCCUUCGGGAACUGUGAGACAGGUGCUGCAUGGCUGUCGUCAGCUCGUGUUGUGAAAUGUUGGGUUAA
rnacentral:rRNA from 1 species